rnacentral:lncRNA from 1 species
GAGGAAGUUCUGUAGCCAGCAUCCAGCUUCUCCAAAAGUUGUCUCCUUCUCUCAGGAGCAUCUCUUGCCUGUUUGCAGGUAGAUUCACCAUUUGGAGGAACACUGCUGUCAUGGAAGGUCAUGGCUGGAGAAGGGGAAGGGGAUCUCACAGGUCUUCAUUUCUGAUGAAUGUGGCACGAAUGUUUAAAAGCAAAUUAAUACAGAGCCUGGAGGGUCAGUGAAUACCAAUCAACCCCUGAAGUCUCAAAGUGAGACCAAGCGAAAAAGAGGAUGGACUGAUCAGAGAUAAACUGACGUGAGUAGCAAU